rnacentral:rRNA from 1 species
UACAGAGGGUGCGAGCGUUAAUCGGAAUUACUGGGCGUAAAGCGUGCGUAGACGGUCGCGUAAGUCAGAUGUGAAAGCCCCGGGCUCAACCUGGGAACUGCAUUUGAGACUGCUCUGCUCGGGUGCGGAAGAGGGAAGCGGAAUUUCCGGUGUAGCGGUGAAAUGCGUAGAUAUCGGAAGGAACACCAGUGGCGAAAGCGGCUUCCUGGUCCGACACCGACGGUCAGGCACGAAAGCGUGGGGAGCAAACAGG